rnacentral:rRNA from 1 species
CUGGCUCAGGAUGAACGCUAGCUACAGGCUUAACACAUGCAAGUCGAGGGGCAGCAUGAUCUUAGCUUGCUAAGAUGAUGGCGACCGGCGCACGGGUGAGUAACGCGUAUCCAACCUUCCCCUUAGUAGGGCAUAGCCCGUAGAAAUGCGGAUUAAUACCCUAUGUUGUAUAUUGAGGACAUCUGAUUUAUACCAAAGGUUCACCGCUAAGGGAUGGGGAUGCGUCUGAUUAGGUUGUUGGCGGGGUAACGGCCCACCAAGCCUACGAUCAGUAGGGGUUCUGAGAGGAAGGUCCCCCACAUUGGAACUGAGACACGGUCCAAACUCCUACGGGAGGCAGCAGUGAGGAAUAUUGGUCAAUGGACGUGAGUCUGAACCAGCCAAAGUAGCGUGCAGGAUGACGGCCCUAUGGGUUGUAAACUGCUUUUAUACGGGGAUAAAGUGACCCACGUGUGGGUUUUUGUAGGUACCGUAUGAAUAAGGACCGGCUAAUUCCGUGCCAGCCGCCGC